rnacentral:rRNA from 1 species
GUGGGGAAUUUUGGACAAUGGGCGCAAGCCUGAUCCAGCAAUGCCGCGUGCAGGAAGAAGGCCUUCGGGUUGUAAACUGCUUUUGUACGGAACGAAACGGUCCUGGUUAAUACCUGGGGCUAAUGACGGUACCGUAAGAAUAAGCACCGGCUAACUACGUGCCAGCAGCCGCGGUAAUACGUAGGGUGCGAGCGUUAAUCGGAAUUACUGGGCGUAAAGCGUGCGCAGGCGGUGCUGUAAGACAGGCGUGAAAUCCCCGGGCUCAACCUGGGAAUUGCGCUUGUGACUGCAAGGCUAGAGUGCGUCAGAGGGAGGUGGAAUUCCGCGUGUAGCAGUGAAAUGCGUAGAGAUGCGGAGGAACACCGAUGGCGAAGGCAGCCUCCUGGGAUGACACUGACGCUCAUGCACGAAAGCGUGGGGAGCAAACAGGAUUAGAAACCCUGGUAGUCC